rnacentral:misc_RNA from 1 species
UCCGGUUUGGCACCGGCAGUCUCCCUAGAGUUCCCGGCAUCACCCGCUGGCAACUAAGGACACGGGCUUUCACCCGCUUUAACUAGCAUGUCAAACCCAGGUAAGGUUCUUCGCGUUGCAUCGAAUUAAGCCACAUGCUCCGCCGCUUGUGCGGGCCCCCGUCAAUUCCUUUGAGUUUUAGCCUUGCGGCCGUACUCCCCAGGCGGAGUGCUUAAUGCGUUAGCUGCGGCACAGAGCGGGUUGAAGACCGCCCCACACCUAGCACUCAACGUUUACGGCUGGGACUAC